UUUUUACAAGUUCCAGCAUUAUAUAAAUUAUAGUUUGUUUUUUUUUUAAUUUGCAGUAAAAAUAAUAUGUAUAAAUAAAAAAUACCUAAUAGUUGUGUAUUAUUAGUUUUCUAAGUACUAACAAUUCCAUUCAUCCAGAUUCACAGCUACCCCGUGUCGUGUCUAUCAAUUAAAAUUGUGAUUGGACAUUAUUUUUUUGGUAUCAUGUAAAACCAAGUUGCAAUCGACUAUACCAAGUAUUGACUACAGAUCAACUUUUAAACCAAUAAGGUUACCAGUUGUAAUCAUUAGUUACCAAGCGCUCGCACGACACGACACACGUAUCUGUGAAUGCGGCUGUAUUGUAUUCUUACUUAUACAACCACAAUAACUGCACGCAUGAAUCACAUUAUAUGAUUCGUCCUACCUGUAGGUAGCUGUCUAAGCCACUUAGCUCGAUCACAGUGUUUAUUUGAAGUUGUUAGAAAGUGUUAACCAACGACAAUUUACUACACUUAUACUUAUUGACUAACCGUAUUACGUCGUGAUCUACAAUAAUCGCUUGUCCGUGUUACUGUUUGUGAUUGCAGUGUCUCGGUUUGUGUGCUCGAAUGGAUGCGGCCGUUAGUACAAGCAAGCUGCAGUUACACAGCGCCUGCGUUACGAGUGCGGCGUAGCUUCGAAGUUUAAGUGUUCGUUUCCCGAUUUGUGUGCUCGAGACAAUGCGGAUGGUCGUAUAAGUACAAUCAAUUAGUUAAUCAGCAUCUUCGAUACGAGUGCGGCCUGCCUCUGAAGCUAAAGCUAUACUCGAUUUUGUAACUACAACAAUUUAAAUUUGUUGUCAUCCGUCUUAACGACGUUGUUUUUAUAUUGUUCAAUGUGAUAUUAUUAAUACAUUUUAUUAUAAUUUAUAAUAUAUAUACUGAUCGGUGAUCGAUUAAAAUAUAGUACCUGCGUUUAUUUGUGUUUAUUGUUAAUUUGUUCGAUAGUUAUUUAGGUACCAUUGGCCCAUUUACUUUAUUAUGUAGAAAAAAAAUGUGCACUUGUUGGUAUUAUAUUAUUAUCCAACGCAUGUCAUCACAAGUGUGCACUAGCUUCUAAAGUAGUGUUUUGUCGAAAAAAUAUAAUUUUGUCCUUGUAAUAUUAUAAUAGUUAUAUAUGCCUCCUAGCUUAUUGAUGUGUUGUAUCUUACGACACAUUUCUUAAUUUCUGCUUGCAUUACACCUAUCCAUCGCAUUGUGCUUUACCUUUGAUUUAUACUUUUAUCUAUAUGUAUUUUUAGUUGUACCUUGAUUGGUUUUUAAGUAUUUAAUAAACAUAACUGUUGGCUUAUUA